AAGUAAAAAUUCUUCCUCACCACCUCUGAUCUGACCAACACCUUGAUUUGUGGCCCAAAGAUACUGAUUCCAGACUUCUGGACUCCACUUCUGGACUCUGGAACUGUGAGAAAAUUAUUUCUAUCAGCUAGAGCCAACCAAUUGGCUCUAUUGUGUUUAUCUGUUACAGCAGCCAUUGGAAACUGACAUAGGCCACAAUAAAAAGAAUAUCUAAACUGUUGAACAUAACUUAAAUGUUCUGGUUUUUAAGAACUUUAAAAGAGCAUUAUUCAUCUUAUGGAAUGUAACAGUGAUAUGAAGUUACUUACAGUAUGGAAGGAUGUCAUAAAGGACAGAAAUAAACUAAUAUCUGUUCCUUUAGAAGGCAGAGGAAUAAUACUUCACAACUCUUCGUACUUCAAAGUGACUGGCAAAAAACUUAGAUUUAUUUAUUCAUGAGAGAGAGAGAAAGAGAGAGAGAGAGAGAG